CCCCAGCGCCACAAGUGGGGAUCGCGUUUAUUGGGCCUAAAGCAUCCGUAGCUGGUUCUGUAAAUCUUUUGUGAAAUUGUUAGGCUUAACCUAACACCGUGCAGAAGAGACUGUAGAACUAGGGAUUGGGAGGAGUUAGAGGUAUGCUGAGGGGAGCGGUAAAAUGCUAUAAUCCUCGGUAGACCACCCGUGGCGAAGGCGUCUAACUAGAACAAGUCCGACAGUGAGGGAUGAAAGCCAGGGGAGCAAACCG
rnacentral:rRNA from 1 species